CCUCGUAUGUAGUAGGUUAAAAAGCAUAGUGAUUUCUCUAUUCCCUUAGUCCACUAGAGUGAAAUCCUCUGUGCGGAAUCCACAUGGAAACCACACAGAGAAAGUUUCCAGAUCACGGCCGAGUCAGCAGUAUCCUCACAUAGCUGUGAGCACUCUGUUCUGGUCCUCUGCCUCCAAUUUUUGCAUCUCAUCACGGUUCUCAGGAUAACCUGGAAAUCACCUCAGCAGGAGCUUCUGAAUUGAGAUAUUUGUUGUGAAGUAUCAGCUAAGACAAUGUUUUUGAAAAAAAUAAAAAUGAAUCAAAAUAAAAAGCUAAGACAUCUGGACAGUCAUGAGAUACACUGAUAAGUGGCAUGGGUGUGAGAAGAAAUGAGAAAUAUAUCAUCAGUCAAUUACAGCAUAUUCAAGGAAGAGAUGGAGAUUGUGAGUAAACACGGAAGCCAGAGAUCUAAGCAAUACAUAUUAUUUCCAUAUGUUGCUCAGAAGGAUCAAACAAGUAAAAAGCAAUACAUGAACAAUAUACAAAAUUAUUCAGGAGUAGAGAGUUAAAGUAAACUGAAAACAUGAUUAUAGGAAUACAUAACUUUGUUUUAAAUUGCUUAGGAUAAUACUUCUAGCAAUGCAAGUGCUAUCUGUGUUUGAAGCAAAGUAGAAUUCAUUAUUCAAGUCAUUUCCAACAGAAAAUAUACAAGUGGAGUCAGAGGAGUCACAAGUGACUCGGUGAGUAGUUUGACUCAUUUUAUAGGAGACGAUCGCAUUGAUUGCACUGAACUGACUAAACCUUGUGCGGUGACUUAAUGCACCUCAUAAUGUGUAGUGUUCUUGUUCUUUUGGUUUGGUCUAUCUUCUUCUAGGACUAUUGUGUACCUUGUC